rnacentral:rRNA from 1 species
CUACGGGUUGCACCAGUGAGGAAUAUUGCACAAUGGAGGAAACUCUGAUGCAGCAACGCCGCGUGGAGGAUGACGCAUUUCGGUGUGUAAACUCCUUUUAUGAGUCAAGAAAAUGACGGUAGCUCAUGAAUAAGCACCGGCUAACUCCGUGCCAGCAGCCGCGGUAAUACGGAGGGUGCAAGCGUUACUCGGAAUCACUGGGCGUAAAGGACGCGUAGGCGGGAUAUCAAGUCAGGUGUGAAAUCCUACAGCUUAACUGUAGAACUGCACUUGAAACUGGUAACCUAGAGUAUGGGAGGGGGAGAUGGAAUUAGUGGUGUAGGGGUAAAAGCCGUAGAUAUCACUAGGAAUACCUAAAGCGAAGGCGAUCUCCUGGAACAUAACUGACGCUAAGGCGUGAAAGCGUGGGGAGCAAACAGGAUUAGAUACCCCGGUAGUC